rnacentral:rRNA from 1 species
UUAAAUUGAAGAGUUUGAUCAUGGCUCAGAUUGAACGCUGGCGGCAGGCCUAACACAUGCAAGUCGAACGGUAACAGGAAUCAGCUUGCUGAUUUGCUGACGAGUGGCGGACGGGUGAG